rnacentral:rRNA from 1 species
UAACGCGUAGGUAACCUGCCUUGUAGCGGGGGAUAACUAUUGGAAACGAUAGCUAAUACCGCAUAACAAUGGGUGACUCAUGUCAUUUAUUUGAAAGGGGCAAAUGCUCCACUACAAGAUGGACCUGCGUUGUAUUAGCUAGUAGGUGAGGUAACGGCUCACCUAGGCGACGACACAUAGCCGACCUGAGAGGGUGAUCGGCCACACUGGGACUGAGACACGGCCCAG